rnacentral:rRNA from 1 species
GACGAACGCUGGCGGCGUGCUUAACACAUGCAAGUCGAACGCUGAAGCUCAGCUUUUGUUGGGUGGAUGAGUGGCGAACGGGUGAGUAACACGUGAGUAACCUGCCUCCUUCUUUGGGAUAACGCCCGGAAACGGGUGCUAAUACUGGAUAUUCACUGGUCUUCGCAUGGGGGUUGGUGGAAAGGGUUUUUCUGGUGGGGGAUGGGCUCGCGGCCUAUCAGCUUGUUGGUGGGGUGAUGGCCUACCAAGGCUUUGACGGGUAGCCGGCCUGAGAGGGUGACCGGUCACAUUGGGACUGAGAUACGGCCCAGACUCCUACGGGGGGCAGCAGGGGGGAAUAUUGCACAAUGGGCGCAAGCCUGAUGCAGCGACGGCGCGUGAGGGAUGGAGGCCUGCGGGUUGUGAACCUCUUUCGCUCAUGGUCAAGCCGCAACAAUGGUUGUGGUGAGGGUAGUGGGUAAAGAAGCGCCGGCUAACUACGUG